rnacentral:rRNA from 1 species
GAUGAACGCUGGCGGCGUGCCUAAUACAUGCAAGUCGAGCGAACAGACGGGGAGCUUGCUCCUCUGACGUUAGCGGCGGACGGGUGAGUAACACGUGGAUAACCUACCUAUAAGACUGGGAUAACUUCGGGAAACCGGAGCUAAUACCGGAUAAUAUAUUGAACCGCAUGGUUCAAUAGUGAAAGACGGUUUUGCUGUCACUUAUAGAUGGAUCCGCGCCGCAUUAGCUGGUUGGUAAGGUAACGGCUUACCAAGGCAACGAUGCGUAGCCGACCUGAGAGGGUGAUCGGCCACACUGGAACUGAGAUACGGUCCAGACUCCUACGGGAGGCAGCAGUAGGGAAUCUUCCGCAAUGGGCGAAAGCCUGACGGAGCAACGCCGCGUGAGUGAUGAAGGUCUUCGGAUCGUAAAACUCUGUUAUUAGGGAAGAACAAAUGUGUAAGUAACUAUGCACGUCUUGACGGUACCUAAUCAGAAAGCCACGGCUAACUACGUG